rnacentral:rRNA from 1 species
AUGCUUACCAUGCAGUCGAACGAGACGGGAUGGAAUGACCCUUCGGGGGAAUGAAAUCCUAGAAAGUGGCGAACGGGUGAGUAACGCGUGGGUAACCUGCCCUAUGGAAAGGAAUAGCCUCGGGAAACUGGGAGUAAUGCCUUAUAAUAUACGAGAGUCGCAUGGCUUUUGUAUUAAACGCUCCGGUGCCAUAGGAUGGACCCGCGUCCCAUUAGCUAGUUGGUGAGAUAACAGCCCACCAAGGCAACGAUGGGUAACCGGUCUGAGAGGGCGAACGGUCACACUGGAACUGAGACACGGUCCAGACUCCUACGGGAGGCAGCAGUGGGGAAUAUUGCGCAAUGGGGGCAACCCUGACGCAGCAAUACCGCGUGAGUGAAGAAGGUUUUCGGAUCGUAAAGCUCUGUUAUUGGGGAAGAAAAAAGACGGUACCCAAGAAGAAAGUCCCGGCUAACUACGUGCCAGCAGCCGCGGUAAUACGUAGGGGACAAGCGUUGUCCGGAUUUACUGGGCGUAAAGGGCACGCAGGCGGUUUUUUAAGUCAGAUGUGAAAGGUACCGGCUCAACCGGUGACAUGCAUUUGAAACUGAAAGA